rnacentral:rRNA from 1 species
CAGCCGCCGCGGUAAUACGUAGGUGGCAAGCGUUGUCCGGAAUUAUUGGGCGUAAAGGGCUCGCAGGCGGUUUCUUAAGUCUGAUGUGAAAGCCCCCGGCUCAACCGGGGAGGGUCAUUGGAAACUGGGAAACUUGAGUGCAGAAGAGGAGAGUGGAAUUCCACGUGUAGCGGUGAAAUGCGUAGAGAUGUGGAGGAACACCAGUGGCGAAGGCGACUCUCUGGUCUGUAACUGACGCUGAGGCGCGAAAGCGUGGGGAGCGAACAGGAUUAGAUACCCCCGUAGUCCCUGUCUCUUAUAC